UAUCUCUGUAGAGUCUGCAUAUCAAUAAGCGGAGGAAAAGAAACUAACAAGGAUUCCCCUAGUAACGGCGAGUGAAGCGGGAAGAGCUCAAAUUUGAAAUCUUCAAGGUUCUACCUUGACGAAUUGUAGUUUAAAGAAGUGUUUUCGGUUAGAGGAGUUUAGUAAAAGUUCUUUGGAAUAGGACAUCAUAGAGGGUGAGAAUCCCGUAUUUGACCAUUAUUUCCAACUUUGUGAUACACUUUCAAAGAGUCGGAUUGUUUGGGAAUGCAGUCCAAAAUGGGUGGUAAAUUUCAUCUAAAGCUAAAUACUGGCGAGAGACCGAUAGCGAACAAGUACCGUGAGGGAAAGAUGAAAAGAACUUUGAAAAGAGAGUUAAACAGUACGUGAAAUUGUCAAAAGGGAAGCGUUUGACACCAGUGUUGUUUUCUCGAAAAUCAAUUAAGAAUGCUGUAUUUUGAUGUGAGUAUUGACUUUAUCAGGCUUGCUGCACUUUAUUCCUGUAACUUUUUUAAUGCACUUUUCGGUUAACAAGUCAACAUCAAUUUCUUUUGUUGUAAAAGGGUCAUGAGGAAGGUGGCUUUCUUUUCGGAGAAAGUGUUUAUAGCCUUUGUACUUCUGCAAUCGGAGAGAUUGAGGUCUGCAGCGUAGAUCCUUCGGGGUUAGAUACAUUUGUGCUAAGUUAUAGCCUUUUCAUAGACAACUUGUUGACUAUGAUCAGUCAUGUAGCUUACUCGCUUAUGUGCUAUUUUACCUACGCUUAGGAUGUUGAGUAGCGACAUACGCAC
rnacentral:rRNA from 1 species